rnacentral:rRNA from 1 species
AGCAGUCGCCGCGGUAAUGCGUAGGGUGCAAGCGUUAAUCGGAAUUACUGGGCGUAAAGCGUGCGCAGGCGGUCCGCUAAUACAGAUGUGAAAUCCCCGGGCUUAACCUGGGAACUGCAUUUGUGACUGGCGGGCUAGAGUAUGGCAGAGGGGGUAGAAUUCCACGUGUAGCAGUGAAAUGCGUAGAGAUGUGGAGGAAUACCGAUGGCGAAGGCAGCCCCCUGGGCCAAUACUGACGCUCAUGCACGAAAGCGUGGGGAGCAAACAGGAUUAGAUACCCGCGUAGUCCCUGUCUCUUAUACA